rnacentral:rRNA from 1 species
UGCAGUCGAGCGAUGAAGCACCUUCGGGUGUGAAUUAGCGGCGAACGGGUGAGGAACACGUGAAGAAUCUGCCUUCAACUCUGGGAUAACUCCGGGAAACCGGGGCUAAUACCGGAUAUGAGCCUUGAUCGCAUGAUCGGGGCUGGAAAGUUUUUCGGUUGAAGAUGACUUCGCGGCCUAUCAGCUUGUUGGUGAGGUAAUGGCUCACCAAGGCGACGACGGGUAGCCGGCCUGAGAGGGCGACCGGCCACACUGGGACUGAGACACGGCCCAGACUCCUACGGGAGGCAGCAGUGGGGAAUAUUGGGCAAUGGAGGAAACUCUGACCCAGCGACGCCGCGUGAGGGAUGAAGGCCUUCGGGUUGUAAACCUCUUUCAGUAGGGAAGAAGCGAAAGUGACGGUACCUACAGAAGAAGCACCGGCUAACUAUGUGCCAGCAGCCGCGGUAAUACAUAGGGUGCAAGCGUUGUCCGGAAUUAUUGGGCGUAAAGAGCUCGUAGGUGGUUCGAUACGUCGGAUGUGAAAAUCAGGGGCUCAACCCCUGACCUGCAUCCGAUACGGUCGAGCUAGAGUUUGGUAGGGGAGACUGGAAUUCCUGGUGUAGCGGUGGAAUGCGCAGAUAUCACGAGGAACACCGAUGGCGAAGGCAGGUCUCUGGGCCAAUACUGACACUGAGGAGCGAAAGCGUGGGGAGCGAACAGGAUUAGAUACCCUGGUAGUCCACGCCAUAAACGGUGGGCGCUAGUUGUGCGAACCUUU